AACGUUACCAAANNGUUGCCUCGGCGGGAUCUUCUGCCCCGGGUGCGUCGCAGCCCCGGACCAAGGCGCCCGCCGGAGGAAUCAACCAAAACUCUUAUUGUAUACCCCCUCGCGGGUUUUUUUUAUAAUCUGAGCCUUCUCGGCGCCUCUCGUAGGCGUUUCGAAAAUGAAUCAAAACUUUCAACAACGGAUCUCUUGGUUCUGGCAUCGAUGAAGAACGCAGCGAAAUGCGAUAAGUAAUGUGAAUUGCAGAAUUCAGUGAAUCAUCGAAUCUUUGAACGCACAUUGCGCCCGCCAGUAUUCUGGCGGGCAUGCCUGUCCGAGCGUCAUUUCAACCCUCGAACCCCUCCGGGGGGUCGGCGUUGGGGAUCGGCCUUCCUUCACGGGGGCCGCCUCCGAAAUACAGUGGCGGUCUCGCCGCAGCCUCUCCUGCGCAGUAGUUUGCACACUCGCAUCGGGAGCGCGGCGCGUCCACAGCCGUUAAACACCCAACUUUCUGAAAUGUUGACCUCGGAUCAGGUAGGAAUACCCGCUGAACUUA
rnacentral:rRNA from 1 species